rnacentral:rRNA from 1 species
UACGUAGGGUGCAAGCGUUAAUCGGAAUUACUGGGCGUAAAGCGUGCGCAGGCGGCUUUGCAAGACAGAUGUGAAAUCCCCGGGCUUAACCUGGGAACUGCAUUUGUGACUGCAUGGCUGGAGUGCGGCAGAGGGGGAUGGAAUUCCGCGUGUAGCAGUGAAAUGCGUAGAUAUGUGGAGGAACACCAAUGGCGAAGGCAGCCUUCUGGGCCAACACUGACGCUCAUGCACGAAAGCGUGGGGAGCAAACAGG